AACCUUGGCGGCAGGCCCAAAACAUGCAAUUCGAGCGGUAGAGAGAAGCUUGCUUCUCUUGAGAGCGGCGGACGGGUGAGUAAUGCCUAGGAAUCUGCCUGGUAGUGGGGGAUAACGUUCGGAAACGGACGCUAAUACCGCAUACGUCAUACGGGAGAAAGCAGGGGACCUUCGGGCCUUGCGCUAUCAAAUGAGCCUAUGUCGGAUUAUCUAGUUGGUGGGGUAAUGGCUCACCACGGCGACGAUCCUUAUCUGGUCUGAGAGGAUGAUCAGUCACACUGGAACUGAGACACGGUCCAGACUCCUACGGGAGGCAGCAGUGGGGAAUAUUGGACAAUGGGCGAAAGCCUGAUCCAGCCAUGCCGCGUGUGUGAAGAAGGUCUUCGGAUUGUAAAGCCCUUUAAGUUGGGAGGAAGGGCAGUUCGCGAAUACGUUGCUGUUUUGACGUUACCGACAGAAUAAGCACCGGCUAGCUUUGUGCCAGCAGCCGCGGUAAUACAGUGGGUGCAAGCGUUAAUCGGAAUUACUGGGCGUAAAGCGCGCGUAGGUGGUUUGUUAAGCUGGAGGUGAAAUCCCCGGGCUCAACCUGGGAACUGCAUUCAAAACUGACUGACUAGAGUAUGGUAGAGGGUGGUGGAAUUUCCUGUGUAGCGGUGAAAUGCGUAGAUAUAGGAAGGAACACCAGUGGCGAAGGCGAUCACCUGGACUGAUACUGACACUGAGGUGGGAAAGCGUGGGGAGCAAACAGGAUUAGAUACCCUGGUAGUCCACGCCGUAAACGAUGUCAACUAGCCGUUGGGAGCCUUGAGCUCUUAGUGGCGCAGCUAACGCAUUAACUUGACCGCCUGGGGAGUACGGCCGCAAGGUUAAAACUCAAAUGAAUUGCACGGGGGCCCGCAC
rnacentral:rRNA from 1 species